AAACAAACAAACCGCAUGUUUCUGUGUAAAUGUUUGACUGUCCGUCUUAUAUAAAAUUUUUUUAUAAUUAGUAUUUUCAUUGUUGUUAGAUGAUAAAACAUGAUUAAUACUUUAUGCAUGACUUAUCUUUUUAAUUUUUUCAUAAUUUUUUUUAAAUAAGACGAACGGUCAAACGUUGGACACGGAAACCAGGGUUUGUCUUUUU
rfam:Oryza sativa (indica cultivar-group) chromosome 4, whole genome shotgun sequence.